CACUCUCCCUGUCUCUGUGUCUCUCCCUCCCCCGCACCUCUCUGAUUCAGAGGGGUUGGGUUAAAUGCACAAUACAUAUUUCGGUUGAAUACAUUCAGUUGCGCAACUGACUAUAUAUAUACAGUGGUGGAAAAUAAGUAUUUGGUCACCUACAAACAAGCAAGAUUUCUGGCUCUCACAGUCCUGUAACUUCUUCUUUAAGAGGCUCCUCUGUCCUCCACUCGUUACCUGUAUUAAUGGCACCUGUUUGAACUUGUUUUCAGUAUAAAAGACACCUGUCCACAACCUCAAACAGUCACACUCCAAACUCCACUAUGGCCAAGACCAUAGAGCUGUCAAAGGACACCAGAAACAAAAUUGUAGACCUGCACCAGGCUGGGAAGACUGAAUCUGCAAUAGGUAAGCAGCUUGGUUUGAAGAAAUCAACUGUGUGAGCAAUUAUUAGGAAAUGGAAGACAUACAAGACCACUGAUAAACUCCCUCGAUCUGGGGCUCCACGCAAGAUCUCACCCCGUGGGGUCAAAAUGAUCACAAGAACGGUGAGCAAAAAUCUGCCUGCUCCUCCUCUCCGUCCCAGGACCCCGGCUCUAGGUGCUGCUCUGCUCUUCCUCUCCGUCCCAGGACCCCGGCUCUAGGUGCUGCCUGCUCCUCCUCUCCGUCCCAGGACCCCGGCUCUAGGUGCUGCCUGCUCCUCCUCUCCGUCCCAGGACCCCGGCUCUAGGUGCUGCCUGCUCCUCCUCUUCGUCCCAGGACCCCGGCUCUAGGUGCUGCCUGCUCCUCCUCUCCGUCCCAGGACCCCGGCUCUAGGUCCUGUCUGCUCCUCCUCUCCCUCCCAGGAACCCGGCUCUAGGUCCUGUCUGCUCCUCCUCUCCGUCCCAGGACCCCGGCUCUAGGUCCUGUCUGCUCCUCCUCUCCCUCCAGGAACCCGGCUCUAGGUCCUGUCUGCUCCUCCUCUCCCUCCCAGGACCCCGGCACUAGGUCCUGUCUGCUCCUCCUCUCCCUCCAGGAACCCGGCUCUAGGUCCUGUCUGCUCCUCCUCUCCCUCCAGGAACCCGGCUCUAGGUGGUUUUCAGGGUUCUCCCCUCUGCCUUGGCCAGGAGACAGUAGACUUAGUGGCUGCUGGUAAUCAGAGCUUGUUACUGGGACAUUGUUACAGUGUUUGUCUGUUUGUGUGUCUGUGUCUGAGUCUGUGUGUGUGUGUCUGUGGGUGUGUGUCUGUGUGUUAAUGGCGCUCCGCUUGGCGUGGCUCGUGGCCCAACGGUUGACAUUGAACCAUGUAAUUGAGUUAGCCAAGGCUGCCCAUCCUCAUCACCUAGCUGUGUAUAUAUGUGAUCAGCUGCCCAUAACCCUAGCAGUACAAGGCUCUCAUUUGUCAUUUCCCUCAUUACUGACAGAACGUGUGUGUGUGUGUGUGUGUCAGAGCGAGAGAGUAUGAGCGUGUGUGUGUGUGUGUGUGUGGCAGAGCGAGAGAGUAUGAGCGUGUGUGUGUGUGUGUGUGUGUGUGUGUGGCAGAGCGAGAGAGUAUGAGCCUGUGUGUGUGUGUGUGUGUGUGGGAGAGCGAGAGAGUAUGAGCGUGUGUGUGUGUGUGUGUGGCAGAGUGAGAGAGUAUGAGCAUGUGUGUGUGUGUAUGUGUGUGUGUGUGUGUGUGUGUGGCAGAGCGAGAGAGUAUGAGCGUGUGUUUUUGUGUGUGUGUGUGCAUAUUGGAAGUGCAGAUCUCCC
ensembl:lncRNA